GACGAACGCUGGCGGCGUGCCUAAUACAUGCAAGUCGAACGCUUCGAUUCAGCCGAGUGCUUGCACUCAAUUGAAAAGAAGAGUGGCGGACGGGUGAGUAACACGUGGGUAACCUGCCCAUCAGAGGGGGAUAACACUUGGAAACAGGUGCUAAUACCGCAUAAAAGGCUGUACCGCAUGGUACAGGAGUGAAAGACGCUUUCGGGUGUCGCUGAUGGAUGGACCCGCGGUGCAUUAGCUAGUUGGUGAGGUAACGGCUCACCAAGGCCACGAUGCAUAGCCGACCUGAGAGGGUGAUCGGCCACACUGGGACUGAGACACGGCCCAGACUCCUACGGGAGGCAGCAGUAGGGAAUCUUCGGCAAUGGACGAAAGUCUGACCGAGCAACGCCGCGUGAGUGAAGAAGGUUUUCGGAUCGUAAAACUCUGUUGUUAGAGAAGAAUAAGGAUGAGAGUAACUGUUCAUCCCGUGACGGUAUCUAACCAGAAAGCCACGGCUAACUACGUGCCAGCCGCCGCGGUAA
rnacentral:rRNA from 1 species